rnacentral:rRNA from 1 species
AACGAACGCUGGCGGCAGGCUUAACACAUGCAAGUCGAACGCAUCCUUCGGGGUGAGUGGCAGACGGGUGAGUAACGCGUGGGAACGUGCCCUUCAGUUCGGGAUAACCCAGGGAAACUUGGGCUAAUACCGGAUACGUGCGAGAGCAGAAAGGUUUAUCGCUGAAGGAUCGGCCCGCGUCUGAUUAGCUAGUUGGUGGGGUAAUGGCCCUCCAAGGCGACGAGCAGUAGCUGGUUAACGAGGAUGAUCAGCCACAUUGGGGCGGAGACACGGCCCAGACUCCUGCGGGAGGGAGCAGUGAGGAAUAUUGGACAAUGGGCGCAAGCCUGAACGAGCCAUGCCGCGUGAGUGAUGAAGGCCUUAGGGUUGUAAAGCUCUUUCGUCCGGGACGAUAAUGACGGUACCGGAAGAAGAAGCCCCGGCUAACUUCGUGCCAGCCGCCGCAGUAA